UACGGGGGGAGCAAGCGUUGUUCGGAUUUACUGGGCGUAAAGGGCGCGUAGGCGGCCACCGCAAGUCGACUGUGAAAUCUCCGGGCUUAACCCGGAACGGUCAGCCGAUACUGCGGGGCUAGAGUGCAGAAGGGGCAACUGGAAUUCUCGGUGUAGCGGUGAAAUGCGUAGAUAUCGAGAGGAACACCUGCGGCGAAGGCGGGUUGCUGGGCUGACACUGACGCUGAGGCGCGAAAGCUAGGGGAGCGAACGGGAUUAGAAACCCCAGUAGUCC
rnacentral:rRNA from 1 species